rnacentral:misc_RNA from 1 species
CGAAUGGGUCCAAAGACUCUUAAAACCUACCGUGCUCCCCUAUGUGGAAAACAGGAGAGCCCUCCGGGGCAUAGGAAAUCUGAGAAGUUGAGAACUGCGCCCCGGCGCAUGACUAAAACAAAAAAUUA